rnacentral:rRNA from 1 species
UAGGGAAUCUUCGGCAAUGGGGGGAACCCUGACCGAGCAACGCCGCGUGAGUGAAGAAGGUUUUCGGAUCGUAAAGCUCUGUUGUUAAGGAAGAACGAGUGUGAGAAUGGAAAGUUCAUGCUGUGACGGUACUUAACCAGAAAGGGACGGCUAACUACGUGCCAGCAGCCGCGGUAAUACGUAGGUCCCGAGCGUUGUCCGGAUUUAUUGGGCGUAAAGCGAGCGCAGGCGGUUAGAAAAGUCUGAAGUGAAAGGCAGUGGCUCAACCAUUGUAGGCUUUGGAAACUGUUUAACUGGAGUGCAGGAGGGGAGAGUGGAAUUCCAUGUGUAGCGGUGAAAUGCGUAGAUAUAUGGAGGAACACCGGUGGCGAAAGCGGCUCUCUGGUCUGAAACAGACGCUGAUGCUCGAAAGCGUGGGGAGCGAACAGG